GAUCAUGGCUCAGGAUGAACGCUAGCUACAGGCUUAACACAUGCAAGUCGAGGGGCAGCAUGGUCUUAGCUUGCUAAGGCCGAUGGCGACCGGCGCACGGGUGAGUAACACGUAUCCAACCUGCCGAUAACUCGGGGAUAGCCUUUCGAAAGAAAGAUUAAUACCCGAUGGCAUAAUUAGACCGCAUGGUCUUAUUAUUAAAGAAUUUCGGUUAUCGAUGGGGAUGCGUUCCAUUAGG
rnacentral:rRNA from 1 species